CAGGGUUUCACAGUGUUAGCCAGGAUGGUCUCGAUCUCCUGACCUCAUGAUCCACCCGCCUCGGCUUCCCAAAGUGCUGGGAUUACAGGCGUGAGCCACCGCGCCCGGCCUUAAACUUUUUAUUUUAAAGUAAUUAUAGAUUCAUAUAAGGUGGCCAAAAAAAAAAAAUACAAUACAGGGAGGUUCCCCUAAACCCCUUUACCCAGUUCCCCCAACAGUAACAUCUUGUAUAAAUACAGUUUAAAAUUAUUAAAAUAUUAAAACCAGGAAAUUAUCAUUAGCAAAAUCCAGAGUUUAUUCAAAUUUCACCGAUUUUCCAAACUGGCAUGUACCACCAAACACUUCUUUUUGUGUUCGUGUGUGUUUGAGUGGUUUUAUGCAAUUGUAUCAUGUGUAGAUUUGUGUAACCACAACCACAGUUAGGAUACAGCAUUUUCACAUUACUGCAAGGCUCCCAUGUGCUACCCCUUUAUAUUCCAACCCACCGCCAUCCCUAAACCUUAGCAACACUAAUUUGUUCUCCAUCUCUGUAACUUUAUUUCAAGAGCCUUAUGUAAAUGUAGUCAUGCUUUUUUCUAUAUCACGUAACCUUUCAAGAUUGGCUUUUUUCAUUCAUCCAAGUUAUUGUGUGUAUCAUUACUUUUUCAACCAUCCAAGUUAUUGUGUGUAUCAUUAGUUUUCACCACUGAUUAAUAUUCCGUGGUACAUUUAACCAUUUACCUGCUGAAGGACAUUUGGAGUGAUUUCAGCACUGGGCUAUUACAAAUAAAGUUGCUGUGAACUUUCAUACAGGUUUUGUGUGAACAUAAAUUCUCAUUUCUCUGGGAUAAAUGCCUGAGUGCAAUGCUUGGGCAGUAAGGUAAUUGCAUCUCUAGUUUUAUAAGAAACUGCCUUUGCCUGUGUUGCCCAGGCUGGUCUUAAACUCCUGAGCUCAAGCAAUUCUCCCACUUCAGCUUCCCAAGUAGCUAGGACUAUAGGCAUCAUGCCCAGCUGUAUUUUUCUUAUUUUAACCAUUCUAAUAUGUGUUCAGUGCUAUCAUUGUGGUUUUAAUUCUUAUUUCACUGAUGGCUAAUGAUAUCAAAUAUCUUUUAAAGUGUUUGCCUUGUAUAUAUUAUCCUAUUUGAUGAAAUGUUGGUUCAUGUCUUUUGGCCAUUUUCUUUUUUUUUUUAUUGAUCAUUCUUGGGUGUUUCUCGCAGAGGGGAAUUUGGCAGGGUCAUAGGAC
rnacentral:lncRNA from 1 species